rnacentral:rRNA from 1 species
GAUGAACGCUAGCGGCAGGCUUAAUACAUGCAAGUCGAGGGGCAGCAUGACUGUAGCAAUACAGUUGAUGGCGACCGGCAAACGGGUGCGGAACACGUACAGAACCUUCCUUCGAGCGGGGAAUAGCCCAGAGAAAUUUGGAUUAAUACCCCAUAGUAUUACGGAGUGGCAUCACUUUGUAAUUAAAGAUUUAUCACUUGAAGAUGGCUGUGCGGCUGAUUAGGUAGUUGGCGGGGUAACGGCCCACCAAGCCUGCGAUCAGUAACUGGUGUGAGAGCACGACCAGUCACACGGGCACUGAGACACGGGCCCGACUCCUACGGGAGGCAGCAGUAAGGAAUAUUGGUCAAUGGACGAAAGUCUGAACCAGCCAUGCCGCGUGGAGGAUGAAGGUCCUCUGGAUUGUAAACUUCUUUUAUAUGGGACGAAAAAAGGCUUUUCUAAGUCGUCUGACGGUACCAUAUGAAUAAGCACCGGCUAACUCCGUGCCAGCCGCCGCAGUAAGAC